rnacentral:tRNA from 1 species
CGUGAUCUAGCUUAAUCGGCAAAGCACAAGACUCAUAAUCUUGAUGAUCCUGGUUCGAAUCCAGGGGUCACGACCA